AGACAGUUCUAGGCGCUCAGGUCCGCAGCUGUGCUACCCCCGCCGCCCGGGACGCCCGGUCCCCGCCAGGGCCCUCUCACUGUAGCUUUAAGGAGGGCUGGGGCCGGGUGCAGCGGCACCUGGAGUCUCGGUGGAACCCGGCAGCGGUGGGCGCGGACCCCGGAGAGGCUGCCCCGAGCCCGAGCACCCCCUGACCGGGCGCUCACCACGGGUGUUGGGACAAGCAGCGGAGCCUGCGGGCUGGAGCCAGGCUCGGACCCUCCGCGCCGGGGCGGGCGGCCGAGCGGACGCAGCUGGCAGUGGCGGCGGGAGAGCGCCCCGGAUCCGCCCGGAGCCCAACCCCGUGGCACUUCGGCUGGCUGGGCAGCGGCGCUGGGGACAACGCGGGGCCUUCUGCAACGAGCGCCUGCGUGGGACUCCAGGGGCCGGCGCCCCGCUCCGCUCCCCCCAGGCCUCAACCCCGCUGGCUACCCGCGCUGAAACCUCACCUGCCGCCGGCUGCAAACGGACUGCGCUCCAGACUUUUGCUGAAGACACUGUCCCCCGCCCCCGCCCCUACGCCAGCGGCAGAGAAGAGAUCCAGGCUGGCCCCGCUCCUGGUUGGUGGGCAGGGCAAGCUGGAGGGGGGGGCAGGUACUAAGUGUUGCUGUGGAAAUAAAAAUCAUUGUAACAGGAGAAUAA
rnacentral:lncRNA from 1 species